rnacentral:rRNA from 1 species
UGAGACUCUGUGCGCGUGCAUAUCAAUAAGCGGAGGAAAAGAAACUAACUAAGGAUUCCCUCAGUAACGGCGAGUGAAGCGGGAAGAGCUCAAAUUUGAAAUCUUCAAGGGUUUACCUUUACGAAUUGUAGUUUAAAGAAGUGUUUUCUGUUGGAGUUUUGGUAAAAGUUCUUUGGAAUAGGACAUCAUAGAGGGUGAGAAUCCCGUAUUUGACCAGUUACUUUCCAGCUGUUGUGAUACACUUUCAAAGGAGUCGGAUUGUUUGGGAAUGCAGUCCAAGAUGGGUGGUAAAUUUCAUCUAAAGCUAAAUAUUGGCGAGAGACCGAUAGCGAACAAGUACCGUGAGGGAAAGAUGAAAAGAACUUUGAAAAGAGAGUUAAACAGUACGUGAAAUUGUCAAAAGGGAAGCGUUUGACACCAGUGUUGUUUUCUCGAAAAUCAAUUAAAAAUGAGUUGGAUUUUGUAUUGUUAAGACCUUAUCAGCUUACUGUACUUUUUUCUUGCUCUUUUUAAUGCACUUUUCGUUUAACAAGUCAACAUCAAUUUCUUUUGUUGUAAAAGGGUCAUUGGAAGGUGGCUUUCACUUCGGUGAAAGUGUUUAUAGCCUUUGGCUUCUACAAUCGGAGAGAUUGAGGUCUGCAGCGUAGAUCCUUCGGGGUUAGAUACGUAGAUGCUAAGUUAUAGUUUUUUAUAGACAACUUGUUGACUAUGAUUAAUCAUGUAGCUUACUCGUUUACGCUAUUUUACCUACGCUUAGGAUGUUGAUCUGUAGUGCGUGCGC